rnacentral:rRNA from 1 species
UACGUAGGGGGCAAGCGUUGUCCGGAUUUAUUGGGCGUAAAGAGCGUGUAGGCGGUUUGGUAGGUCCGCUGUGAAACUCGAGGCUCAACCUCGAGACGCCGGUUGAAACCGUUUGGCUAGAGUCCGGAAGAGGAGAGUGGAAUUCCCGGUGUAGCGGUGAAAUGCGCAGAUAUCGGGAAGAACACCCGUGGCGAAGGCGGCUCUCUGGGACGGUACUGACGCUGAGACGCGAAAGCGUGGGGAGCGAACAGG